UACGGGGGGGGCAAGCGUUGUUCGGAAUUACUGGGCGUAAAGGGCUCGUAGGCGGCCAACUAAGUCAGGCGUGAAAUCCCUCGGCUUAACCGGGGAACUGCGUCUGAUACUGGAUGGCUUGAGUUCGGGAGAGGGAUGUGGAAUUCCAGGUGUAGCGGUGAAAUGCGUAGAUAUCUGGAGGAACACCGGUGGCGAAGGCGGCAUCCUGGACCGACACUGACGCUGAGGCGCGAAAGCUAGGGGAGCAAACAGG
rnacentral:rRNA from 1 species